AGUAUUUGAGCUGUAAAGGAGCUGAGCUCGUGCUUAAAAUAAAAUUCAUUUCUUUAUUUAAUAAAGAUAAAGAAAGGAAGAUAUAGUUGAUAUUAUGGUAAUUAAACAUAAUUGUAAGCUGCAUGAAGAGUUUUGUAACAUUUCCCUCUCAGAACGUCAUGACUUCCUUUCCUCAAACAAAUCUUGAGCAGGAUACCAGUAAUUUACUUUUGCUGAGCUCCAUCAAAAUUUAGUACAUGUCCAGUAGCUACUUUUUUUUUUACCUCAAAUUUCUUCAGCACCGGCCAAAAGUGUUCUCAUUUACGAGUUAACUACAUGUAUAGUAACAACUUAAAGAAUCUAAAUACUCUGGCAUUUUCCAUUUCUACAUUUCAUGCUGCACAUUUCACAGAACUGCAACUGGAACCUAUAACAUCUCAUGUAAAAAAACAGAAAUGGUUACGUGCGCUCAUAUGUCCUUAUGCAGUAAAACACUUACCAACAAAAUAAUAAAUAAAAUAAAUGUUUUAAUCGGCGUCUGUGGUGUAGCGGUUAGACACUCUACAAUGGCAUGCAGAAGGUCUGGGUUCGAUUCCUGAGUGAGGAACAUUUCUAUCGAGUAUCUCGGUCUUUCUGCCGGGAUACUGUAUCCCUCUCAUCCCGGGCUGACUAACAAACAGAGUCCAAGCCCACCUCCUAAAUGAUCUGUACAGUGUAGAAUGGACGGGACAUACCAACAGUAAAACAGACAUGUUUGAAACAAAGAACAUGAAUAAAACAAGAACCUAGUAAAGUACAAUGUGGAGAAAGACAACGGAAGAUAUUUACCUUUUUCAUCCGCAGAGCCUCCAAGACGUCCUUGUCCAGGGUUUUGUACUGGGCAGCCUUCAACGCCAUCAUGGCUGGUCCUCGACAGACAGCAACUCACGCACGACACAGUCGGGCUGGGAACACUUCCAAACACUUGAACCGAUGUGAAAACUUCAAGAAACCGAGGUAAACGUGAGCGAGAAAGUCGGAAACACUGAACAAAAUGUUCUAACACUCAGAUCCACACUGAACCAAAAGUUCUGAACAAAAAGUUCUGAAGACUCAAGAUCCACACGGAACAAAAUGUUCUGAAGACUGGCUGAGAUGCGUAAGAUGAACAAAUCGUAUUUCCAGAGCGUAAGAUGAAAUCACAAGAACUGUAUCGAGCAGCAACGCUGAAAUCGAACUGAAAUAAAAUGUUUUUGAGCUUGCUCCUUAUAUAGGGAGAGGUCUCAAACACCCUCGGGUAUUAAAACUUGACCAAUCAAAAUAACGUGACAACAUUUUCAAUGGCCAUUCAUCAAAAUUUAGAGGUGUGAAAAAACUCAGAGAGUCAGGUCGGCUGGCAGAUACGUUUGUGACAACACACUAACGACCUCCAUUGUCCCACACGCCCUUUGGUUUCUCCGAUCUAUGGAGGCCAGUAGAGGAAAUAUUUCAGUUUGAUUGACAAGUUAUUGAAGUGUUUUACGUGAUGAAAUGUCGUCAUACAGGUGUGAUGAGGUGUCUGUGAGUGUGGUCAUUGUGGAAGUAUUGCCGCGGGGCGUGUCCCUCUGUCGUCACAUGUGGUCAAGCUGGACAAUGGACGCUUAGGUCCGGCAACUUACAAUGGUGGUAGGGAAGCCGUUAAAACAACAACUUUUUCUUAUCAUGGAGGGGAUCUUUUACUUCAAAGUUUGGAUUGAAAACUUUAGAAUUGAAGUAACAAAAGAACGCCUAAGAAAUAACGUAAUUAUCCCGUGGAUUAUGUUGUACUCUGUUGAUAACAACAUGGUAUAGAAUAAGAAAUAGAUUCUGUGCCUGUAGAGGAACAGCGUAAGAAAAUGGGGAAAAGCAAAACAGGAUGCUGCAAUAAUUAAUGAAAGUCCCUCCGUCAAUUUCUAACGAAAUGCAUCUACAGAGAAGGA
rnacentral:lncRNA from 1 species